CCCACCUCGAGUGGAGCUGCAGUUUGAUGUUGGUGGUUCAGCUCCUAGUUUUGUCCUCUAUCCCCUUAAAAUUCUACCGUAAAAAUAAUUAUACGGAAAGUUACCGGCUAUUAAUCCAGUCCAGCCAGGAAUGUUAACCACGUUUUGCCAGGUGUAAGAUUUGGAGAUGCUCUAUUUCCCUGGUAUUGGAAUCUGAGAUGCAGUCACCCAGUAGUGGGAACUGCACGAACAGAACUUUGCAAAGGGUAUGGGGAAAGAGCAAAGCUUUUCACUAGAACACGGACUUUAUUCGUUCCUGGUAAUAUCAAUGGAAGAUGUGGAGAAUGAGAAUGGGAAAUUUUAGUAACAUGAAGAGAGUGGAUACUCCGAUUAGGGCGGGGAAGUAAAAUGGUGUUGUGGGUGCUAUUAUGUUUUCAAAUCUACCAUACAAGGAACCAGUCAGAUGAAGCUUUAUCUCACCUCUUCUAUGGCAAAUAUAUCCGUAUUUAGAUAAAGACACUAUAAUUGGACAUAACAUUCCAGAUGGUGGUGGUCGUGGGCCUGGAAGGUGCUGCCUUAGGAAGAUGGUAGAGGGAUUGGAUGCUUGUGAAAGGCGUACCAAUCAAGUGGACUGCCUUGUAGUGGAUGGUGUCGAGCUUCUUGAGUGUUGAUGGAGUUGAAUUCAUCCAGACAUGACUCAGUGAUGCCCGAUGCAAGGACAACAAAGAGGCGGUCGUGGGAGACAGAGGAGUGGAAUCGGGAUUGCUUUGAGUUGGCGGACUAAGCCAUGUUCAAGGAAUCAUCAGAGCAUCUGAAAGGAUAUCCGAAAGUUGUCAUGGACUUUAUAAAACAGUUGUGGACGAGUGUGUCUUCACAAAAUCAUUCAGUCUUCCCCGACGAGAAGCCCUGAAUGAACCAAGGGAACCACAAUCUGCUGAGAGCCAGAUUAGUGACAUUCAUGUCUGGAGAUCAAGUAAAGGAUGAAAGAUCCAGGUAAGAACUCCAGGAAUCCAUCUUGCCUGCAAAGUGGCAAUUUUGAAUCUAACUUGAAUCACAGAAGGAUGCUCGACAGCUUUAGCAGGACUUGAAUGCCAUCACUUCCUAGAAAGUGAAGCUAAGCCGUAUACAGUACGUGCCAGCAAUGUUUCGGUCCCUGAUGACUGCAAAGCCUUUAUGCUUGCUUUGACUGAUGCACCUGCACAAGCUCCCACAACACCUGACACACUGUGAUUUCAGUCUCUGAGGCCAAGGUGAGAACAUCUUUCAAGAGGGAGGACUUACGGAAAGCAUCUGGCCCAGACAAGGUAUCUGGCUGAGUACUGAAGUCCUGUGCUAUUCAUCUGGCUGAAGUGUUUACCGAUAUCUUUAACAUCUCUCUUCGGCAGUCUGAGGUACCCUCCUGCUUCAAGCAGGCUUCAAUUCUACUGGUGCAUAAAAAGGAGUUUUUGCCCUUUUAUCACUAUUUACUUAAUUUCAUUUUUAAACUAUAGUUCUUAUUGUAACUUACAUAUUUUUAUAAUUAUGUAUUGCAAUUACAUAUUGUACUUUAUAGAUAUUUUUAUUAUUAAGUAUAGAAAUGCACUGCUGUCAUAAAACACAAACAACAGGAAUUCUGCAGAUGCUGGAAAUUCAAGCAACACACAUCAAAGUUCACCAGCAACUUUGUGUGUUGCUGUCAUAAAACAACUAAUUUAACAACAUGUGCCAGUGAGAUUGAACCUGGUUCUGAUUCCGUCGCUUCAUCUGCUAGGAUUUCCCAGCAACCUUCUCUAGGUUGCCAGUAAUAGCUAUGUUCUAACUUUCACAACUUCUAGAUUACUUAUUUACUCUUUUUUUGUUUUUCCUUCUCUGACAUCUCCUCCAGACAGAUUCCCUACUAUUAGCAAACCUCUCUCUCAGCCAUUGCCAAUCUGUCAUUCAUUGACACACAAGAGAGUGCUGGAAUCUGGAGUACCAGCCAAUUCAGCUGGAGGAACUCAGAAUAACGUAAAUAAAAUGCUGGAUGAGCUCAGUGGGCUAGGCAGCAUCUAUUGAGAGGAAUAAAUAAUUUCUGUUUUGGGCUACGACCCUUCAGCUGGAGGAACUCAGCAGGUUGAGCAGUAACUGUAGGGGAAUUGGGUAUUGGCAAUGUUUCAGGGCAAAAUCUUGCUUCUGGACUAGUAAUAUGAGGAAUGCAAUGAUCCUUCCACAGAUGCUGUUUGACCUACUGAGUUCCUUCAACAGUGUAUUUGUUGCUCUGUCAUUCAUUGUCUUUUGGUCUCCAUCAUAUCAGAGACAUCCCCUUUGCUAGUCCUGCCUUCUCCGCGCUACCCCGCCCCCCCCCCCCCCCCGCCGACCCUCAUUCCUUCACCUGUCGUGGUGCUUUCACCAGUUGGGUUUUUAUUUCAGAUCUGCACCAGCUACAUUAUUUUUUGCUUUUUGACAGCUAUCAAUAUCAUUGUUUUAGGGUUUCAUUAGUUUACUUAAUGAGGAUGCUGGUUGACCUUUAUUGAAACUGAUUACCAGUGGAAGUUUUAUCUUAAAAUAUGUCAUUAAUGAGGUGCUCAGUUGAUGAUCCCAUGAAAUAAGCAACUGUCUUUAAUACAGUGAGAAGGAUUGUUGGAUUAGAUGACAAAUAAAACAUAAAGUAUUGUGGCAAGUAUUGGGAAAACAGAUAUGCAGUAUGUUAAGAAUAACAGUCCAGCUGAACUGCUCGUUGCCUGUCACACCUCAAGUUCUCAACACAUCAGAAGUCCAACACAAUGGGCAAA